rnacentral:lncRNA from 1 species
CGCGGGGGCGGCCAUGGUCCGGCGCUUGGCCCGGGGCUGCUGGUCCGCGUUCUGGGACUACGAGACGCCUAAGGUGAUCGUGGUGCGGAAUCGGCGCCUGGGAUUCGUGCACCGCAUGGUGCAGCUUCUCAUCCUGCUUUACUUCGUGUGGUACGUCUUCAUCGUGCAGAAAAGCUACCAGGACAGCGAGACCGGACCGGAGAGCUCCAUCAUCACCAAAGUCAAGGGGAUCACCAUGUCGGAAGACAAAGUGUGGGACGUGGAGGAAUACGUAAAGCCCCCGGAGGUGCGGCGCUUCCUGCCCCAGGCCAGAUGCUCCUCCAACCAUGUCCAUGUGACUGGGAAACAGAAACCUGUGCAAGAGGACAGGCGUCUUGCUUUAGCCCAAGCUUACAUUCUUCCUCUCCCUAAGGCCUCUGGGGAGAAGUGGGUUCCCUGCCAUCUCCUUUCCCAACAGAACUCCUCAUAGGACCUUUCCCUGCUCACCUCUUGUACUCUCAUACAGUAUUCAGGGACCCCAAGUUAGGGGCUAUGCCCUCCUGUUGUAUAAUUUCAAGCCCCCCUUUAGAAGUUGCAGCAUGCUGAGUUCAAUAAACCAGUGAUGAGC